UUUCCUCACCAGCUUUAUUUGGUCCACCCACCCUGCCCUCUUAGCCUGCUUCUUCCAGAGGCCUGUGGGGAGCAGCCACGGGAUCCAGUUAACCAUUGCCCUGAGCCUCCCCCAGUCUGGCUCAUUGAACGCAUGCACCUGCCACUGACCAUCUCUGCCAUUUUUCUUCCGGCUGUUUGCUGUUUGUGUGAUUGGCUCUCCUCUUGUAUUUCAAGCUGCCCACUACAUCCAUCAUAGACAGCAGUUUAUCUUCCCAGACAUCUCUACCCCAUCCCAAGCACCCCAAGUCCCUGAUGCAGCUGAAGAGACACGGGUCAAUGACCAGCCGAAAGCCAGUAUGACUGAGGACCAUGAAACAGAGGCGAGCUUGGAGAUGGCACAGCAGAGAUCUGUGGGUCAAUCAC